rnacentral:rRNA from 1 species
AUACGGAGGGUCCGAGCGUUAUCCGGAAUCAUUGGGUUUAAAGGGUGCGCAGGCGGUUUUGUAAGUCAGUGGUGAAAUCCCGUAGCUCAACUACGGAACUGCCAUUGAUACUGCAGAACUUGAAUACAGUUGAAGUAGGCGGAAUGUGUAGUGUAGCGGUGAAAUGCUUAGAUAUUACACAGAACACCGAUAGCGAAGGCAGCUUACUAAACUGAGAUUGACGCUCAUGCACGAAAGCGUGGGGAGCGAACAGGAUUAGAUACCCUGGUAGUCCACGCCGUAAACUAUGAUUACUCGUUCUCGGCGAUAUACGGUCGGGGACUAAGCGAAAGUGAUAAGUAAUCCACCUGGGGAGUACGAUCGCAAGAUUGAA